GUCAACAUGGCAGAAUGGUUUGAGUGCUGGACUACAACUCUGGAGACCAGGGUUCUAUUCCCGUCUUGGCU